CCUACGGGGGGCUGCAGUAGGGAAUAUUGGACAAUGGGCGCAAGCCUGAUCCAGCCAUGCCGCGUGAGUGAAGAAGGCCCUCGGGUUGUAAAGCUCUUUUGUCCGGAAAGAAAAGCAAUCGGUUAAUACCCGGUUGUUCUGACGGUACCGGAAGAAUAAGCACCGGCUAACUUCGUGCCAGCAGCCGCGGUAAUACGAAGGGUGCAAGCGUUACUCGGAGUGACUGGGGGUGAAGCGUGCGUAGGUGGGUGAAAUCCCUGGGCUCAACCUGGGAAUGGCAUUGGAUACUGGCGGGCUAGAGGGCGGUAGAGGGUAGUGGAAUUCCCGGUGUAGCAGUGAAAUGCGUAGAGAUCGGGAGGAACAUCUGUGGCGAAGGCGACUGCCUGGACCAGCACUGACACUGAGGCACGAAAGCGUGGGGAGCAAACAGGAUUAGAUACCCUUGUAGUC
rnacentral:rRNA from 1 species